UUCUCUCAUUUCUACUUCGAAUGUUCCUCUCUCUUAUGGCCCAUCAAAUUCGAUCUCACCCUGCCGACCUGCUAUAUAGGGAUUUUGAAGAAACCUAAACGCAGUGCACAUCUUCUUCCCAGAUGCAAACAUGGACGUUAACCGUAAAUCGAUUAGGAAUCAGGUGGAUCUUCAUUAAAGCUAGCUAAGCACAUCUUCACUACAGAGGUCGGAGGAGAUUCCAACCUAGUUUUCUCUCCUCUCUCUAUUAACAGUUUGUGGAUCGACCUGACUCUGCCGUUAAAGUCUUCAUUUAAGCAUGUCGUGGACAGUGUUUACAAGGCCGCAUAUGAAUUAGUUGAUUUUCAACACAAGAAAUUGAAGUUUGAUAGAUGUUGAUUGCCCAAGCAAGUGAAGUGGCUGAUGAAGUGAAUUUGUGGGUUGAGAAAUAAACUAAAGAUUUUAUCAACCACAUACUUCUUGCCAGUGCAGUUAACAAUCCAACAAGGCUCAUUUUUGCAAGUGCAUUGUAUUUUAAUGGAGCUUGGACUCAAGAGUUUGAUGCAUGGAUGGUGAAGGAUCACGAGUUCCACCUCCUUAAUGGAAGAUCUAUACAUUUUGUGUAUCUCUUGAGUAUUUGUAUGUAAUGAGAGAUUUUGCCUUCUAAUGAAAUGGUUGGUUGAAGAGUUUUGGCACA